rnacentral:rRNA from 1 species
CCUGCCCAUGAAACUGGGAUAACUCCGGGAAACCGGGGCUAAUACCGGUAUACUAUUUUGAACUGGGUGAACUCGAAAUUAAAAGGGGACUCCGGCUGUCACUUAUGAAUGGACCCGCAUCGCAGUAACUAGUUGGUGAGGGGCACCUCACCAAAGCAACGAUACCUAGCCGACCUGAGAGGGCGAUCGGCCACACUGGGACUGAGACACGGCCCAGACUCCCACGGGAGGCAGCAGUACGGAAUCUUCCGCAGUGGACCAAAGUCUGACGGAGCAACCCCGCGUGAGUGAUGAAAGCUUUCGGGACGUAGGACUCUGUUGUUAAGGAAGAACACGUGCUAGUUGAAUAGGCUCCCACCUUGACGGUACCUAACCAGAAAGCCACGGCUAACUACGUGCCAGCAGCCGCCGUAAUACUUAGGUGGCAAGCGUUAUCCGGAAUUAUUGCGCGUAAAGCGCGCGCAGGUGGUUUCUUAAGUCUGAUGUGAAAGCCCACGGCUCAACCGAGGAGGGUCAUUGGAAACUGGGAGACUUGAGUGCACAAGAGGAAAGUGGAAUUCCAUGUGUAGCGGUGAAAUGCGUAGAGAUAUGGAG